GGGAGGCUAAAAGCUUGAAGACUCGGGGAAUCAGCUCAAGGUUUGAGAUAUCACAAAGGUUUUCAACAAGGCUCGGGUUAGAGGAUUGUGCUCAGGAUCGCGGUGCUCUAAUAGCUCGGGACACAGGCCGCGACCAAAGAGGCAAAAAAC